rnacentral:rRNA from 1 species
UACGUAGGGUGCAAGCGUUGUCCGGAAUUAUUGGGCGUAAAGAGCUCGUAGGCGGUCUGUCGCGUCGGCUGUGAAAACCCGGAGCUCAACUCCGGGCCUGCAGUCGAUACGGGCAAACUGGAGUACUGCAGGGGAGACUGGAAUUCCGGGUGUAGCGGUGGAAUGCGUAGAGAUCCGGAAGAACACCGGUGGCGAAGGCGGUCUGCUGGGCAGUAGCUGACACUGAGGCGCGACAGCGUGGGGAGCAAACAGG